CCAGGCGAAUAUGGAGGAAUUAACUCAAAUGGAAAAAGAGCUAAUUGAAGAAUUUGGCGGCCUACACAUUGCCAAAGGUAAAGGGAAGGCUGGUAACACUAAGGGUGCAAAAUCUGUUGAAGUUGAAAGCAUGUGUAUCUCCAGACCCGGUCCAUCUUCGUAAAGUGCUGGACUUGGAGUCGACAAUGAAAGCAUGGAAAAUGAUCAUGCAAGCAUGUACUGGACUUGGGCAUUUGGCUGGACCUGGAACUCUUGAAGUUGAAGGAAGCGUUGCAUUUUGAUGAAGCCAUUUACGUCUGGCUAUCAGUAUCAUUGUGUAAUUGUGUUUCCUUGAGGCUUAGCUCUGUUUGUUACUUUGUUAUGUGAAUUGUGAUACACUGAUAGUCUGAUACUACUGCUACUCUGCUACUAGCCUACUACGUUGG